rnacentral:tRNA from 1 species
GGGCUCUUGGCACAGGGGUAGCGCGCACGCUUUGCAUUGCAAAAUAAACAGGCCACGAUGCAUGCGUGAGGUCGUGGGUUCAAAUCCCACAGUGUCCA